rnacentral:rRNA from 1 species
AUUGAACGCUGGCGGCAGGCUUAACACAUGCAAGUCGAGCGGGGUGAUGGUGCUUGCACUAUCACUUAGCGGCGGACGGGUGAGUAAUGCUUAGGAAUCUGCCUAUUAGUGGGGGACAACAUCUCGAAAGGGACGCUAAUACCGCAUACGUCCUACGGGAGAAAGCAGGGGAUCACUUGUGACCUUGUGCUAAUAGAUGAGCCUAAGUCGGAUUAGCUAGUUGGUGGGGUAAAGGCCUACCAAGGCGACGAUCUGUAGCGGGUCUGAGAGGAGGAUCCGCCACACUGGGACUGAGACACGGCCCAGACUCCUACGGGAGGCAGGAGUGGAGAAUAUUGGACAAUGGGGGGAACCCUGAUCCAUCCAUGCCUCGUGUGUGAAGCAGGCCUUAUGGGUGUAAGGCACUUUAAGCGAGGAGGAGGCUUACCUAGUUAAUACCUGGGAUAAGUGGACGUUACUCGCAGAAUAAGCACCGGCUAACUCUGUGCCAGCAGCCGCCGCGG